AUGUUGACACAGGAGAUUAAACUUGUCCACUUCUUUUUUAAGUGCAUCUAUUGGCAAAACAUGAGCCCAAGGAAAAAAACAAAGGAGAAGCCAGCACCCUGCCUGGCAUUGCAGACUCUGCGGGGAAAAGUGUCCCCAGGAGAGAUGGGCUUGACGGAGACCCUGCACACAGGCAGGCAGCUCUCUCCGUGCCGGUGUUUGGAUCAGGCAGAGACAGCUUUUCUCCAUCCCCAGAUUUUCCCAGUCAUGCCCUUUCUCUGCUUGAAGGAUUUGCCUGGGGAGAAUUCGAAGAUCUCCACAAGGUACCUCACAGGAACCUCACAGGUUCCUCACCCUCCAUUGCAUGCUCUGAGACACAAAGCCGGGAUUUACAAGGGAACCAAGAAUUUCCUGCCAAACCUGCCAAAGCAGGAGCUAGCAGGCAGCAUGGCAGGAGCGCUUGCCCAGUGUUCUGGCACAGAUCCAGCGCCUAUGGAAGGAGAUGGGAGAUGUUUUUCUUGGUUCCCCUUGAAUAGCAUUCAGGACAUUUUCUGCCUCUCACCUAUGAUGGAAGGAAUCGCUCAUGAAAUCCUCACACAGUCACCACUACCAGGGACGACCACAGCCCUGCGAAGGCACGAUUCAGAGAAGAGACGGCGUUAUGCCUGGCCUUGCUGCCUGCUGACUAGUGCCAGAUGA
rnacentral:lncRNA from 1 species